CCUUAUUUAUUUACAUACUGAUUUUAGUAUUUUUUUAAUUUUUUUUAUUUUGUUGUUGUUCUUAAAACAUUUUUUAGGAUUUGAGACUACAUAAUUCUCUCUUCAAUGGACGUUUUCAAGAGAGUUACUAGAGGUUCCGCUUCUAAAUCUAAGGAGGAUAUACGACGGGGAAAAAUGUCUGAAUCUGUCGAUGUGCAAAAUCCCACACAAAUUAAUAACCAUGAAGUUGAAGAAGACCAAUUUAUUGGAGAAGAGUUUUUUUUUUUGCAUGUUUUGUGUCUUGCAUGUUUAAUUUAAUUUGUUUAGUAAUUUUUAAGAUUCAAAAAAAUUCAUGUUACAAUGCGUUUGGAAGUAUAUAUGGAAUUUUUAUUAUGUUAUAGUUA